AAGGGAGGUAUGAAAACAUGGAAACAUGUUCAUCAGCGGAUAGAGGAGCAUGAGAAAAGUAAGAUCAGUAGAGACAGUGCUGAUGCUUUCUGUUGGCUCAAAGGGAAGAUGUAGAAAGGCCAGAUGUAUGGAGCUAGAAUUGGGUCGUUAAUACAGCGCACAAAAAAAUGACUCACGAGCGAUGUAUGUGAUGUCACACGCGCAUAUAUUAACCAAAGCGCUCCAUGAGCAGUGGAGCUGCCUCUCGCGCGAGUGUAAAAUGUUUCACCGUGAGCUCAGAAAUAACCCUCGACCAGCGGAGCUGCUUUUCCCGCGAGCGAGAUCAGACCCUCUUGAGCCUCAAGGGAUUUAAAUACGCGAUGGUAAAUACAUGCACGUGUGAAAUCACAUACCCCAUACUGAAAUCCAGACUUCUGUUCACCAGAUCUACCAGCAGCUGUCGGUCACACUGAGCACUGCAGGCCAACAAGCACCACAUAGAGUUGCAUCUGCAAGUCUGUAACAUGCGCUCCGACCCUGUCUGGGGUCCGGGGGCAGUUUCCCCCGGGGAAGAACAGUUUGUAUGAAGAGAAGUCCUGGAUCACCAUGGGACUAGAAAAUGCCUGCAAAAAGAAAAAUAUAUUGUAUGAAAAUGACUUAAAAUAUAAAACAAAGGAAGCAGAAAAUA